rnacentral:rRNA from 1 species
UACAGAGGUCCCAAGCGUUGUUCGGAUUCAUUGGGCGUAAAGGGUGCGUAGGUGGCGCCGUAAGUCGGGUGUGAAAUUUCGGAGCUUAACUCCGAAACUGCAUUCGAUACUGCGGUGCUUGAGGACUGGAGAGGAGACUGGAAUUCAUGGUGUAGCAGUGAAAUGCGUAGAGAUCGGGAGGAACAUCAGUUGCGAAGGCGGCUCUCUGGACCAGCACUGACACUGAGGCACGAAAGCGUGGGGAGCAAACAGG